GUCUGUCCGCCUCUCCUCUAGAGAACCAGGUCUGUCUGUCCGCCUCUCCUCUAGAGAACCAGGUCUGUCUGUCCGUCUCUCCUCUAGAGAACCAGGUCUGUCUGUCCGUCUCUCCUCUAGAGAACCAGGUCUGUCUGUCCAUCUCUCCUCUAGAGAAGCAGGUCGGUCUGUCCGUCUCUCCUCCAGAGAACCAGGUCUGUCUGUUCGUAUCUCCUCCAGAGAACCAGGUCUGUCUGUUCGUAUCUCCUCCAGAGAACCAGGUCUGUCUGUUCGUAUCUCCUCCAGAGAACCAGGUCUGUCUGUCUGUUCGUCUCUCCUCCAGAGAACCAGGUCUGUCUGUCCGUCUCUCCUCUAGAGAACCAGGUCUGUCUGUCCAUCUCUCCUCUAGAGAAGCAGGUCUGUCUGUUCGUCUCUCCUCCAGAGAACCAGGUCUGUCUGUCCGUCUCUCCUCUAGAGAACCAGGUCUGUCUGUCCGUCUCUCCUCUAGAGAACCAGGUCUGUCUGUCCGUCUCUCCUCUAGAGAGCCAGGUCUGUCUGUCCGCCUCUCCUCUAGAGAACCAGGUCUGUCUGUCCGCCUCUCCUCUAGAGAACCAGGUCUGUCUGUCCGCCUCUCCUCUAGAGAACCAGGUCUGUCUGUCCGCCUCUCCUCUAGAGAACCAGGUCUGUCUGUCCGCCUCUCCUCUAGAGAACCAGG
ensembl:lncRNA